UUCAAAUUAGCAAAAGUGGCUUUUCUAAAAUGUUUUGGCCUAGAUUCUAUAUCUGAAUCAGAGAAUCCUUCAACCCAAAAGCAUAGGGGAAAAAAGAAGGAAAGUUGACAGUGAAAACUAAAAGCUAUAUAUGUCUGUUCAUUGUUAUGACAUGGAUAAAGAAAGUAUCUCAUCAUUUUUUGGCACAUUAAUUGGUUUCCGAAUGCAUGUUUAAUAUUAUGGUAGGUUGAUAAAAUUAUUGCGACUCACCGUGAUACCAAAUAUCUGCCGAAUAAUUUCGUUAAACAUAUAUUCGGCGGAUAUUUGGUAUCACGGUGAUUCGAUUUCCCACAGUUACCGCAUCCACACAAUAAUCGAUGGUGACCGUCCGAUUAAACAUAUAUGGCUGUGAUCAUAACCUUUAUUUUUUUGACAAAAG
rnacentral:lncRNA from 1 species